UUGGGUUUUGAAUAUUUCUAGGAUUGAAUUUUUGACAAAUAAAAUAUAUUGUAAAAUUGUUUGCUUGAAGAUUUCUAUUUUUUGCUUUAUUGCCAAAAUGUGUUUGAUUAAACAUUUCUUAUCUUUAUUUUUAGGAUAAGAAGAUGGUGACCGAUUUUGACUGGUCCUCACUGAACAUUGGCUUCCAAAAAGUUGAAACCUCAUCAGAUAUGGAUAAAAUGUGAAAAGCUCAAUAUGUACAGACAGAACAAAUAUAAUUAUGUACAACUGCAUUUUUAAUUUUUUUUUUUUUAUAAUAUAUAAUAAAAUAGGUUUAAUACAAUAUUACAGUGUUCACUAGUAUUGACUGCUAAUUACACUUAGACAGAUUAAUUAUUUUUUUUUCGUGGUUCUUGAUCGUUUUGUACUAUUAUUUGUAGCACCAUCAUGAAGUUUUUCUGUAGGGGUAACUGGUGACUUUUCAAGUCCACUGCUAGUUGUUG
rnacentral:lncRNA from 1 species